GAAAACUUGUAAGAGUUCAAUUCUUUUGUGUGGCCAAUUUUCAUAUUUAUAAAAUUUGUUUUGUUUCGAUUUCAUGUAGUUUUUGUUGUUCGGGCUGGCUCCUAGUUAUUGGCUUUGUCAAGUGUUAUACUUUGCAAACGUUUUCAUACUUACCUAUACAUAUGUUAUUUAUUCUUAUUUAACAAAGCCUUAUGAAAAAAAUCUUGGGA
rnacentral:misc_RNA from 1 species